rnacentral:rRNA from 3 species
AGUAUCCAUUGGAGGGCAAGUCUGGUGCCAGCAGCCGCGGUAAUUCCAGCUCCAAUAGCGUAUAUUAAAGUUGUUGCGGUUAAAAAGCUCGUAGUUGGAUUUGUGUCCCACGCUGUCGGUUCAUCGCUCGUCGGUGUCUAACUGGCAUGAUACGUGGGACGUCCUGCCGGUGGUGGCGAGUCGAAGGCGUGCACCCGUCGCGGUUCCACCGCGUGCGGUUCUUGUGCGCCGGAGGCGGACCCCGAUGAAAUCCUACCGCGGUGCUCUUCGCCGAGUGUCGAGGUGGGCCGGCACGUUUACUUUGAACAAAUUAGAGUGCUUAAAGCAGGCCUGUUGCGCCUGAAUACUGUGUGCAUGGAAUAAUGGAAUAGGACCUCGGUUCUAUUUUGUUGGUUUUCGGAACCAGAGGUAAUGAUUAAUAGGGACAGGCGGGGGCAUUCGUAUUGCGACGUUAGAGGUGAAAUUCUUGGAUCGUCGCAAGACGGACCGAAGCGAAAGCAUUUGCCAAGUAUGUUUUCAUUAAUCAAGAACGAAAGUUAGAGGUUCGAAGGCGAUCAGAUACCGCCCUAGUUCUAACCAUAAACGAUGCCAGCUAGCGAUCCGCCGAAGUUCCUCCGAUGACUCGGCGGGCAGCUCCCGGGAAACCAAAGCUUUUGGGUUCCGGGGGAAGUAUGGUUGCAAAGCUGAAACUUAAAGGAAUUGACGGAAGGGCACCACCAGGAGUGGAGCCUGCGGCUUAAUUUGACUCAACACGGGAAACCUCACCAGGCCCGGACACCGGAAGGAUUGACAGAUUGAGAGCUCUUUCUGAUUCGGUG